CGUUGCUGUUGAUUUCAAUUAAAAAAGCGGGGCUUUUCUUACAACAAAGGGCAGCAAGGUUUCUGGUGUCGCGGGAGUAAUCGGCAUUUUGUUGCGAUAUGUGGAGAAUAUAAAGGUUGUAAGGCUGUUCUGUUCAAGGUGCUGGUGUUUAAGAGAUCCGGCGGAACAGUAAGUUAGCAUCUACUACGAUUCAGGCAUAAUUAGCAAUUUGCAUAAUUUAGAUAAGGUCAUUUAUGGUGUUUAUGAAUAUGAGAAUUGUUAGCGCCUUCAUAUAUUAAAGACAUGUACGUAUUUGGUUUUUGCAGAAUUGAAUGCUAGCUACCGUUGAUACGGUUGACACGUUAAUAAAGCAUCUCAAU